AUCACGUGGAGUGUUCUUUUGAACUGUGUGGCCACAGACUGGUCGGCGGUGUGUGGCUGAAUGUUGACCUUCUCAUGCCUGCAGUCCACUUCGUCGAGGUUGUCGAAGACCUACCGGUUCUUGCCUUUGGACAACCCAUACCCGAGCUGCAGCCUGCAGAGUUCACGUUGCCAUGGGUGAAGCACCCGUUGCAGUCAUCGGGAGAGCGGAUGGCUUCAAAAAAGCAGCGAAAAAAUAUGCAGUCCAAGGGACCCUGGCGAUAGCUGAAAGGAGAGAGACAACAAUGCUCCUGAACUUUCGCCACAAGGACACCGGCGUGGGCCCUGCUCAGGACUGAGCCCCUGGGCACUGAGUGCCAGCUCCGACCAGCCGACAGAAGACCUGUCGCCGAGGCGCCCAGACAGUCUCCGGUCUCGCUGCAGGACACGGUCGCCAAAACCAACACAGAAACUCUCAGCCCCGGGCCCAGCGCGCCACGAACAUCACCGACGCGCGCACGCGUUUCCCGCCGCCCGUGAGGGAAAAAAGUGGAGAGAGUGUGAACAUGGUGGCGACGCCACACUAAAUAAAAACAAUCCACAUGCG